GCUGGAAGGUUCUGGAACUCCAGUGUAAGUGCAGGCUUCGUCUCGCCGUUUUUCCGAAGAUUGUCACGUCUUUGUGGUUGAGCUGUCUCAUUUUUUUCUCUUUGACUCUGACACUUCUACGUCCAGGCUGUGGAAAAUGAAGGCGGGAUAAAGGGAAAGAGUAAAAUCAAGGCGCGUGAGCUGCUUCUUAAAGUUCACGACUAACAUCACAAUAAGCAAGAAGAGAUUGCGCCGGCGCACCAGAGAUGAAGAAGGGAAAGUGCAUUUCUGCAGAGGACGUCGGGAGUGAUAUUGCCGCUUGCUCCCAACCCCUGUGCCCAGCUCCAAACCGGAGCCCGCACCACCGGUCCCACUCCGGAAGGGCUUGCUGCAAGUUCUGUGCGUAAGCCGCUCUGUGGUUAGCCUGUUGCACACUGGUUUAUUCCCAAGGCCUCAGCGCCUCGUCAGAAGAUUUUUGUGUUUGCCCCUUACGGUCUUGGCUGGAGAACGCGUCAAGGAAUCCAGGGAGGAGGCCACCAGUAACAAACUGACACAAAGUGCUUUUAGAUAAUUUUGCUGAGUUAGGGCGGUGCUAAGAAUUCGGCUUUGAAAUGCAGUUACGUGGCGGUACACAUGCACUGAGAGAGAAACUGCAGUAUGAUCUGGAACUGAGGUUUAGAUUGAGCCCAAGCUGAUUGGCUUCAGCUUCCUGUUCCCUGCUUCCCUCGCACUGUAUCUCCGGGUUUUACCUUCUUCCUCACUUAAUCAUCUGUUAUGUUGCUAAGUACGAGGCUUCCUGCUAGGACCCCGGAAGAGGAAAGUGAAUAAAACGUGGCUCCCUGAACUUCAGCGCACAGUGAGCUGGGGGAGACAGAAAUGUAACUCAUGGGAGCGAAGACUGCUGCUGUCCUGCCUGCCUUCCACCACCCAUGGUAGGGAGUCGCCCCAGGACCUUAUUUCAGACAUGGAAGCCCCUCCAUCUGUUAAACCACUGAGGUCUCUGUCACUGACUCUGGGGCUCUUUCUUCGGUCCUGAAGACGCAUCAGCAGGAGCGCAGGAGAGCGAUGCUCCUCAUCGGCAGGCGUGCCCCUGCCUGUAAAAACCCAUUUAUGGACAUUUACACUGGUCUUGCAUGGAGAAGCCCCUCAUCUACUGCAAGUAUGUUUUUAUACAACCCCAACUCUGCCGUGCCUUGUUUACAUAUUUUUCUCUCUCCCCUCUACCCCAAAUUUCCUCAGCCUUGGUUUUAUUUGUGCUUUACUGUUAUCCAGUGUUCCAUCAUCACUGAAACACCUGUCUAGGCAUGGGAGCAAAUGUUCUGUGCAAAGGUAACAGUCAAGAGCCAAUGGAUUUUUUAACCUAAGCAACAUAGCUCUGAAACACAAGUUACAAGAACUUUUAAUGUCUUCAAUCUAUGGGCCAUAGCACUCUCGUCUGCAAGCCAUGGGGACGGCCACCCAGAGCACUACCCACGGCAGACGUUCAAUCCACAUGUGUGCGGAACUGAAUCCACCGGAAUGGUGUUCCUGAAAUUCACCAGGCACAGGCCUUGGGGUUAAACAAAGGAGAGCGGGAACCGGAGGCAACGAUCCCACCUCCCCCAUCACAGGACAACGGCCCUACCUGGCUGGUAGAAGUCAGGCGACAGCUCCCGGGCCACGG